GACAGAGGGUGCAACCGUUGUUCGGAAUUACUGGGCGUAAAGCGCGUGUAGGCGGUCUCGUAAGUCGGAUGUGAAAGCCCCGGGCUCAACCCGGGAAGUGCACUCGAUACUGCGAGGCUAGAGUACUGGAGAGGUUGGUGGAAUUCUCGGUGUAGAGGUGAAAUUCGUAGAUAUCGAGAGGAACACCGGUGGCGAAGGCGGCCAACUGGACAGAUACUGACGCUGAGACUCGAAAGCGUGGGGAGCAAACAGG
rnacentral:rRNA from 1 species